rnacentral:lncRNA from 1 species
CUUCAACUGCUGCAGGAGGGACGCGUUGGGGGUGGCACCUGGGCCAGUGUGGUUUGGGUCCCCUAAGCCCUGUUCCCACUGCGCUAUGCCCUGGAAAGAACAUUUCCAGGAGAUGGGGAAAGAAAAGCCACAGCACCAGGGACUGGAACCCGAACCUUCUCACUGAGCUCAGCCUCUCCCUUCUUCCUUUUGUAUUUGGCACAAGUUUUCCUUAAGUUGCUGCUAAGUUUCCCUUGCUGGUCUUGAACUUCAGAUUCUCCUGCUUCAGCCUCCCAGAGGGCUGGGGUUACAGGCUCAAGCAUCUGGCAUUUUCUUGCUUGUGUUCCAACUACUUGUGAUGAAAUGAACAUGCCAGUCUAAUAUGAGACAGCCAGACAGAUGUUGCAGAUAAGUUUUCAGUUUUCCUGGGUGUUCAACAACUGAACUUUGGAGAGCAGAGGCAGAAAAAAUAACUGGGUAAGAGGACAGCCAAUAUUUUGGCCCUGGUCCUCCCAUGUCAACAAGGACCCAGAAGCUGAGGGGAUCUUUUCUACAGGAUCUUACAACUUUGCUCUGGGCUGAUCCCUCCGUGGAGAAAUCCCCAUCUGUCCGCCACUUGCCUCCAAUCUCAGAGUGCGUUCGAUUCUUCUUGGCCUGAUCUUAUUAUACCACUAAGAGCUGCCACACUGUGGACUGUAAGUUCGCUGUUACGGUACAGUACAGAACAACUGUAAAUAAACUAUGUUUACUUGUACAGAUACCUCAAAAAGGUAAGGUGAACUACUUCUGAAAGUUGUUCCAAUCUACAAAUGCAGUAAUGCAAGGUCUGUUCAUAUCUGUGAAAGUUCAUAACUCAAAUGUCUGUAAGUCAGGGAUUUGUUGUAUACUACAAUUAGUGCCACCCAACCCAUAAGAUCCAGCUAUGCAUCAGAUACCUGGGUGGGUGACCAGAACACCUGGAGCCAUCCCAUCCCCAAAAUGUUCCCGUUUUAGAAGUCACAGAUAAGCCAAGGUUAGUGAUGUCAGACAUGUACCCUUGCUAAGUGGCCCUAUCCCUAUUGGAUGAAUAUUAGCUAAGUGGCUAUACUUGUAAUCUUAUUGGUUGAUUAUAUCUUACCUACUUUGUACCCAUAUUUGCUGUAUAAAUUACUCCUGACAAAGGGCCUUGGUGGCAACCCACUUUCAGGACCACUCCUGUCUCUCAGGAGCUAUCUUUCAAUAAAUCUUUCAUAUCGUAAACCUCCAUUGUCCUUUGGAAUUCAUUCUAGAUCGGUGGAUACAAUUGGAACAUCUGACAUCUAGCAGUGUACUAGUUAUAAAUUUGGCUUAUACAGUAAGCACUGAAAAAAAAUGUGGGACCAUAAAGGCCUUGCAUGGUCAGGAAGGCCAGUUCCGCUGAGAUCGAAGCCUGAGACCAGAGCUUUUGAGACUUCACAGUUACUAAACUCCGCCUUGGCACAAUUAACUGCACCAGCCGACUGCGCAGGCG